AGGAGAAAAAGUAUCAGAGUAAUUAACCCUAUAUAUCUUAGCAUAUCCUUUAGCUACAAGAUGUGCUUUUAAUCUAGCUAUAGAACCAUCAAGAUUCAUUUUCACUGUGAACACCCAUUUGCAAUCAAUAGUUUUCUUACCAGUAGGUAGAGGUACUAGUUCCCAUAUACCAUUUGUAUCUAAGGCCUCUAUUUUCUCUUUCAUAACGGCACACUAACCUGGAUAGGAUAAUGCCUUUUAGGGAUAUUUAUAGAAUCUAAAGAAGUAACAAAAUAUAAAGGAGAAGACAAAUGAUCAUGAGAAACAAAAGAGGAAAUAGAGUAAAUACAUUUACGUUUAUCCUUGCGAAAAGCAAUAGGAAAAUCUAGAGUAGGAUCAUGACCAGUGGCAGUAACCGGAUCUUCUGAUGAAAAAGCUAGUGGAGGAUUUGAAUCCGGGGUAUCCACUCUCCUUGAACAAACAUGAACAACAGGAGGUCUGA
rnacentral:misc_RNA from 1 species